rnacentral:rRNA from 1 species
UCGAGUGGCGAACGGGUGAGUAACACGUGGGUGAUCUGCCCUGCACUUCGGGAUAAGCCUGGGAAACUGGGUCUAAUACCGGAUAGGAGCCAUUUUUAGUGUGAUGGUUGGAAAGUUUUUUCGGUGUAGGAUGAGCUCGCGGCCUAUCAGCUUGUUGGUGGGGUAAUGGCCUACCAAGGCGGCGACGGGUAGCCGGCCUGAGAGGGUGGACGGCCACAUUGGGACUGAGAUACGGCCCAGACUCCUACGGGAGGCAGCAGUGGGGAAUAUUGCACAAUGGGCGCAAGCCUGAUGCAGCGACGCCGCGUGGGGGAUGACGGCCUUCGGGUUGUAAACUCCUUUCGCUAGGGACGAAGCUUUUUGUGACGGUACCUAGAUAAGAAGCACCGGCUAACUACGUGCCAGCAGCCGCGGUAAUACGUAGGGUGCGAGCGUUGUCCGGAAUUACUGGGCGUAAAGGGCUCGUAGGUGGUUUGUCGCGUCGUCUGUGAAAUUCCGGGGCUUAACUCCGGGCGUGCAGGCGAUACGGGCAUAACUUGAGUACUGUAGGGGUAACUGGAAUUCCUGGUGUAGCGGUGAAAUGCGCAGAUAUCAGGAGGAACACCGAUGGCGAAGGCAGGUUACUGGGCAGUUACUGACGCUGAGGA